UGUGGCUCAGCUCAGCGCCCCCGGGGCCCGGCACUCUGUCCUCUCGGCGCUUCGCCUGCUUCCCUCCUCCCUGCUCGGGCCACUGCUGCGAUCACCAUCUCCCUCCCGAUAUCAGUACCCUUGGGGACAUAUUAACUGACAGGGGGUGACUGCUUGGGAAGGAAUGGCCAAUACUGCUAGGAGUCAGCACCGACACAUUCUUCCUUUGAGAACAGUGUCCUGUAGGGAAUAUUCAAAACAUUUGCUAAGUGCUGAUGAAAAUAUCCAAAUGGCUCCUCUGUAGCGAGGCUGGAUGGAGGUCAGCAUUUUCAGCUCUGCUGCAGUGAAGAUUCUGUUAGACAAAAAUCUUCCUCCACUCAACAUCAGACAGCAACCUGUAAUGCACUUGAUUAUCGUAGAGCUCUGAAGAAAUGCAUGGCCCUUGUGACUGUCCCCCCUCCCCAGGCUGCCACGGGAUCGAAGCUGCACAAAGCCCCUUAGUUCCGGGAGGCCCAGCUGGGAAGCAUUAAUGUCCCCUCGACACUCUGGAACCUGCUGGUAAAGACGAGCGUGCUGUCUGGGCCACUGCAUCCUCUUCUGAUAAUUCCACUUCUCAAAAUUUCUUUACUGUAUGACAUACAGCAGACAUCCACAUGUCCACCAUUUAGAGCUACAACUUUGACCUCUUGCCUUGUUUUUCAUUUUUAUAAAAGAAAUUAAAUAUCACGGAUAAGAUGGAAGCCCUUCCUCACCGGUUAGACCAUCUGCUUCCCCUAAGGAGCUUAGUACGAUUGCUUCAAAGCUAUUCUUACACUCCUUUAUAUUUAAUUUGAAUCAGACAGAUAUGCUGACAUUUGACUGUUUUUUGGACUAAAGAAUGAGAUUUCAUUUGGUCCAACUGGAGCAUAUACAUUUCCUGAACUGCCUUUCAAGUUUUAUGUGAAUGGUAUUAUGCCAUACACCCCACUCGGCAAUUCUGUUUUCACCCAGUAUUGCACUCUUAUGGUCCCUGUACAUUUAGAGAGCUGGUGCAUCUAUUCUCACAGUGUGGCCAUGUGGGAUCUCAUUAUAUGAAAGUGCCACGUUGCAUUGAUUCAUUACCCAGAGUUUGUUUUCCUAUUGCAACAAAAGGCUAACAGUGGAAAGUCAUGUUUUGACACUACGGGAAAUAGAAAAGGAGUAGCCAGAGUCCUUGCAGUGACUCAGUCUCUGUCCACACUUGUCAGUCCCUCCUUGGCUUACCAGGAAAAAGGCUCAUGGAGUCAUGCACAGCGACUGGAACGUCUGUCAGGACUGACAACGCUCCACGCCCAUGGCGUGUUUGUACGCUUAGUAAGCACAGAGGGACGUUGCCUGCUGGCCUCUCAAGACAGGGCUCAGUGAGUCACUGCUCACCACACCAUGGUCCAAAAAAGUGUAAGUCAAUGGAGAAUGCUUAGUGGCUUAGUGGUAACUUGGAAGUUGGGAAAUCAUUACUUACACAUCUACUUUUACUUAUUCUACAUUUACUAAUUUAAUUUAUUUUAAUUAUAU